CGCCGUGACACACUGCGCCGACACAUUCCCACAGCCACAGCCAGCUUGCACCGUACGGCGGGUGCAUGGUGUGUUUGCGCAGCUCGGCCCGCGCAGAGGUGCCCGCCAAGGCCUAUCUUGUUGUACACCUACGACGGAGCAAUGGAGGUGAAGACUACCCGGCAGCGUGUGAGCCGCGCGGUGGCUGCUGUGCAGUCGGCCACUGCGCCCGUGAUGUCUGCGUCGCCUCUUGUCACUCUCACCGGCAGUGCCGCCGGCCGGCGCAAGAGCUGCGUGACCCGCUUCGCCUCCUUCGACGCGCUGUGUCGCGCUCAGCAGAAGCCAGACACGCACGCACUGCUGCGCACAGAGCUGCAAGCAAAGUUGCCGCGACCCUCCCCACGCAACGACGUGGUAGCCGUAGGAGACGCAGCGAUCGAGCUCGUGCUGCAGUUCCUCGGCCCCGUUAGCCGGAAUUCGGCAGCGUUCGCCCAGACGUGCCGCUCGGUGCGCCGCGCGCUGUUUCAUGUGAUGGACCUUGAAGUAGCUGUGGUGAUUCCAGCGAUGGUCGUCGCGUCUGCCCUCUCGCGAGAGACUGUGCGCAGAGCUCUAAUCACCUUCGCUGCGACAAGAGGCGCGCAGGUGCGGACGCUGGUGCUGCACGAGGACGGCCUCAACGCCGUGAAGCGCGAGUGCGACGACGGCACCCCCGUUGCCGGUCUUACCAUGCCGGCGCCGUGGUUGCUGCAGCUCAUCUCGCAGCUGCCGUACCUCACCGAGCUUGAUGUGCGCCACGUGCAAUUCACAGAAGCUCAUCACUCCCAGGCGCUCCACUACCUGCUGAGUGACCUGCACCUGGCUGCUGCCGGCACCCUGUGCACGCUCAAGAUGGAUGCCGAGCUCAUGCGCUACUGGGCGCCGGGGUGGUGGCGCCGCCUCGUCAACCUAUCUUCGCUCGUUGUGGGUAGCCGCUACUGCCCCCCUGAGCCUACAUCCGACACCACCGCCAGCGGCAUCUCUCCGUCUUCGCUGGAGCUGCCGGCGGACUAUUUCACGUUGAUGUGUGAGGAGGGUCGAGGCUGGAAGCUGAAUCUGUGGGUCCCGAUACAGGCGGCCUCUCUCAAACGAAUCCUCAUGCCCGCCAGCGGCAUCAUCUAUGCAGGUGUGGCAGAGCUGCUAGUUAACAUGCGGUGCAACGAGCGCACAUGUGAGUGGUCUGACGCUGUAGGCGGUCACACGUUACCACUGUCAUCGCCUGCCGCUGCCAUUGCUUCGGGUACGGCCUCGGAGCUGUCUCCAGAAACUCGCAACAGCGGUGCAUCUUGCAAGGCCGGCACUGGUGCCGCUACUGGCAUCGAGUCGGGCGAAGUGUGCAUCUAUCCUGCGCUGACGACAAUGACCGUCGUGGACGUGCAAGAGAGGCCGGAGGUAGCAGCUGAGGUGUACCAGGCAAUGCUGGACAUGGCCCCCGCACUCGUCCACUUCAAUGUAUGUGACACUGUGUCUGCCGGCACAGCGAGCGAGGCCACGAAGAAGCGGCGCGGCAAGGGGUAGUCCGGGAGCUCGGAGGAGAGGCAUGGGCGCACAUUCCUCUCUCUCUGUUCCUCUCACGUGCGUCACGGAUGUACAACAAAUAUGAAACGCGUCUCUGUGUUGUUUUCCUUUCUCGUGCUGCGUGCGCGUAUGCCGCUCACGUGCUGCAGCACUGCUGCGGACGCCGCCGGGAUCG
rnacentral:misc_RNA from 1 species